GCAAACUUGGUCAUUUAGAGGAAGUAAAAGUCGUAACAAGGUCUCCGUAGGUGAACCUGCGGAGGGAUCAUUAUAGAAAACCUUUUAACAGAAGUGAUGAGAGAGAGAGAGAGAGAGAGAGGGGGGAGAGAGGGGCUAUAACUCUCACACUUUCUCUCACUCUCACUUGUCAUUUCUGAACAAACAAACAUAUGCGACUAAGAAAAACCAAAGAUUGAGAGAUUUGAUUUGGAGCCUUGGUUGAUUGGUGGGGGGGGUGAUAUCUCUCGCAAAAGUUCCUGUCUGAUAAGUAGCUUAUGUGAUUUGGAGUUACUGAAAUCAAUACAACUUUCAACAACGGAUCUCUUGGCUCUCACAUCGAUGAAGAACGCAGC
rnacentral:misc_RNA from 1 species